rnacentral:rRNA from 1 species
GACGAACGCUGGCGGCGUGCUUAACACAUGCAAGUCGAACGGAAAGGCCCUGCUUUUGUGGGGUGCUCGAGUGGCGAACGGGUGAGUAACACGUGAGUAACCUGCCCUUGACUUUGGGAUAACUUCAGGAAACUGGGGCUAAUACCGGAUAGGAGCUCCUGCUGCAUGGUGGGGGUUGGAAAGUUUCGGCGGUUGGGGAUGGACUCGCGGCUUAUCAGCUUGUUGGUGGGGUAGUGGCUUACCAAGGCUUUGACGGGUAGCCGGCCUGAGAGGGUGACCGGCCACAUUGGGACUGAGAUACGGCCCAGACUCCUACGGGAGGCAGCAGUGGGGAAUAUUGCACAAUGGGCGGAAGCCUGAUGCAGCAACGCCGCGUGCGGGAUGACGGCCUUCGGGUUGUAAACCGCUUUCGCCUGUGACGAAGCGUGAGUGACGGUAAUGGGUAAAGAAGCACCGGCUAACUACGUGCCAGCAGCCGCGGUGAUACGUAGGGUGCGAGCGUUGUCCGGAUUUAUUGGGCGUAAAGGGCUCGUAGGUGGUUGAUCGCGUCGGAAGUGUAAUCUUGGGGCUUAACCCCUGAGCGUGCCUUCGAUACGGGUUGACUUGAGGAAGGUAGGGGAGAAUGGAAUUCCUGGUGGAGCGGUGGAAUGCGCAGAUAUCAGGAGGAACACCAGUGGCGAAGGCGGUUCUCUGGGCCUUUCCUGACGCUGAGGAGCGAAAGCGUGGGGAGCGAACAGGCUUAGAUACCCUGGUAGUCCACGCUGUAAACGGUGGGUACUAGGUGUGGGGUCCAUUCCACGGGUUCCGUGCCGUAGCUAACGCUUUAAGUACCCCGCCUGGGGAGUACGGCCGCAAGGCUAAAACUCAAAGGAAUUGACGGGGCCCCGCACAAGCGGCGGAGCAUGCGGAUUAAUUCGAUGCAACGCGUAGAACCUUACCUGGGUUUGACAUGGAUCGGGAGUGCUCAGAGAUGGGUGUGCCUCUUUUGGGGUCGGUUCACAGGUGGUGCAUGGCUGUCGUCAGCUCGUGUCGUGAGAUGUUGGGUUAAGUCCCGCAACGAGCGCAACCCUUGUUCACUGUUGCCAGCACGUUAUGGUGGGGACUCAGUGGAGACCGCCGGGGUCAACUCGGAGGAAGGUGGGGAUGACGUCAAGUCAUCAUGCCCCUUAUGUCCAGGGCUUCACGCAUGCUACAAUGGCUGGUACAGAGAGUGGCGAGCCUGUGAGGGUGAGCGAAUCUCGGAAAGCCGGUCUCAGUUCGGAUUGGGGUCUGCAACUCGACCUCAUGAAGUCGGAGUCGCUAGUAAUCGCAGGUCAGCAACGCUGCGGUGAAUACGUUCCCGGGGCU